ensembl:snoRNA
UGGUCGGUGAUGACAUCACCACUGUGCAACCUGAGUUUUGGAAACCAGAUGAUGAUGGCGUGUGAGCUACGCAGGGACUGAGGCCA